rnacentral:rRNA from 1 species
AGUAGGGAAUCUUCCGCAAUGGGCGAAAGCCUGACGGAGCAACGCCGCGUGAGUGAUGAAGGUCUUCGGAUCGUAAAACUCUGUUAUUAGGGAAGAACAAAUGUGUAAGUAACUAUGCACGUCUUGACGGUACCUAAUCAGAAAGCCACGGCUAACUACGUGCCAGCAGCCGCGGUAAUACGUAGGUGGCAAGCGUUAUCCGGAAUUAUUGGGCGUAAAGCGCGCGUAGGCGGUUUUUUAAGUCUGAUGUGAAAGCCCACGGCUCAACCGUGGAGGGUCAUUGGAAACUGGAAAACUUGAGUGCAGAAGAGGAAAGUGGAAUUCCAUGUGUAGCGGUGAAAUGCGCAGAGAUAUGGAGGAACACCAGUGGCGAAGGCGACUUUCUGGUCUGUAACUGACGCUGAUGUGCGAAAGCGUGGGGAUCAAA